UAAAAAUGUAAACAACUGAAAGCAAUUAAGUAAAAAAUAAGAAAAAGCGUGAUUCGAACGAAGAAUAAAAAGUGAAGAAAAAGGAUAGGGCAUCGGGAUCGAUGUGGUCCUCCCUGUGGACUUAGUGCACAGUAGGGGCGCACGCUCCUCCAGGGUAGGAUUAGUCACGAUCCCACUCGGUCGUAAAGUUUCAAAGAUUGCAGACACACUACAUUUUCCUUCCAAUCGAUUCUGGCGAGAGACUCGAUCUGAAUUCGAUAGAUAAAAACGACAAAAGAAUUUUCUUUAG